GUUUGGGUGGUGUAGUUUGGUUAUCACGCUAGUCUCACACACUAAAGGUCCCUGGUUCGAACCCUGGCUCAGACA